rnacentral:tRNA from 1 species
AAGUUUGAAGCGAUAUAUUGCAAUUAGUUUCGACCUAAUUAUAGGUAAUUUAUACCCUUACUUU